ACAAUAUGUAAUUAUUUUAGCUUAUUGUUGCACACAUGUUGCUGCUCUUAAAAACAACUAUAAAUAUAUUUGCUGUUUCUUUAUAUUUCACAUAGCCUCCCAGCAGCAGUGUGUCUGACACUGGGACCAUGAUGGGAAUUCCACCCUGAGCAACUUCUACACUCCAGGUGUGGUGGAGAGCUUCUGAGCAGCUUCCAUCUGAAUGACAGGACAAGCUCUAUGAACUGAUCCAGGCUAAAUGAACCCAAGUAAUCUGCUGUCAGACUGACUGCUGCAGCUACAAAUGGUCCAGACUAACAUGAAGCCUUGCAGGUGUAGUAAAGGUGAGUUGUUUUUAAUCAUUAUGUAAUCUUCAUUACCUUUGACUUUUAACAUCAUCUGUGUUUUUGUUUCAUAGCUUAUUGCUACAUGUGUGUUGCUGCUGUGAGCUUGGAGCUAGAUUACAUCAUGACAUCAUGAAAGAGGCUAUUGAUUCUGGUCCUGUGACACUUGGUGGUGACGUGUGAGCUGAUUCACCUGGACACUCAGCAAAAUAUGGACGUUACACCAUGAGGCAGGCACGCGUUAAUAUUCUAUAAGAGCACAUGAGCGUGGGUGAUCACCUGAUAACUCCUGUCAUCUGGUUAUGAAAGCAUGAGUGUGUCCUCACACACCUGUAACCUAUCAGCUCAUCUGGCAGAAUAGAGAGAGGAGACAACACCACAUCAUCUGUUCCUGGAAAGCCUUCAGCCAUCCUUCGAUGAGUGAGAACCUCCAUAAGCUCUGUCUCUUGUCUGCCUACAAUUAUUAUAAUAAAUAUUGUGUUUGACAAGUUCUUUGUGUUGCCAAAAUGUCUCAUUUUAAUUCCAGUUUUUAUAUUUUAAUGGAUAUUUAUAAAUUACACGUACUGAAUUAUCGCUUUGUUGCACAUUUAACUAGCUCUACUGUGAUGAUUUAAAUUAGCACCUCACUGUUAAAAGCUCAUUUUAAACUCAAGCGUGUUUAAAUAUUUAUGGACAUGAACAAAAACAGGAACUAUAUAAAUUGAGAUUUAUUUCAUUAAUAUAACAAAUAACUGUUUAGAGGAGGAAGGAAUCAUUCAAAGGCACAUGUUUCUGGAAGCUCCUGAUCCCGAUGACAGCACCAGAGGAGACCCAGUGGCUGACACCAGAGGAUCACCUACGAUCAAGAGAACAGCUGGUAUCAGUAAAUAAUGAAAUCAGGGCAAUUUUAGGUGGACAUUUGUGAUUGUGUAACAUAAAUGAACACAUUACAGAAUAAUUUUCUCAUGGGGUAUUUUUAUAACUUUCUCUACAGCAGAUAGUAACUUUAGCCCAGGGUAUGUGGCCGUGUCCUAGAGAGCUGCUAUCGACACGUUUCAGUGGUUUUUCCUGCUUUAACAUGUUAGAUUAGCUGUUCAGCAGCUCGGCUAUGUGCUGCUGAUUAAAAUAAGGUGUGUUGAAGAUAAACCUCUAAAACAUGCUGGAUAACAGCUCUCUAAGGCCGUGGAGCCAAACCCUGCAGCUAACCUAAUGCUAUGGCUACUUACCAUUCAGAGCUGGUUCUGUUGGGUCGGCUCUGGUGGUUUCAGGCAACUCACAAGCUCAAAACAAUAAAGCCUGAUUCAUGCUUCUCCGUCAGCUCCGCAAGGGACAGACACGCACGGAUUGACGGAAGCGUUUUGCUCUCAUACUUCUCCGUCUCCUGGAGAGUGUUGCAAAGCAAUUGCCCGGCAGGACAACAGAGGGCAUAGCGCUGUUCUGUGGUAUUCUGUCAUGUAUCGGUCCAAGAUAGUGUGUUUAUAUUGUGUUUUUUUAGUGUGUUUAUAUUGUGUUUUUUUGUAUAUAAGAGACUUUUUAACACGGACAAAUUUGUCUCUCAUUCUCCUCCACCUCUUCAUGCGCUCUCCACCUCUAAACCCACGUUUCCUGUCAUUUCCGUCCACAAAUAAAACACUUGCUGCGCAUCUUUUCACUCCUCCAGUCACGGGGAAUUAAACGUUCAUGUUUUUAGAGUUUUUUCGUGAGGUAUUCUUCAAGCUUCUCCGUGUCUGCUGCUUGUUAUCCUCGGCUCUCUUUAUAUUUUUGAGGGCGCAAUGGCGGCGCUGUAAACAACAGCGGCGUCCUGACCAAUCACAAGCUUGUGUUGUCCGUUUCGACUGACGGAUGUUUAGACAAGAGAGCUCGACUCCGUCUGUCCUUGCGGAGCUCUCCGGCAGGCCCACAGGGACAUUGCGUGUCUCCGCACUGACGCAGACGGAGAAGCAUGAAUCAGGCUUAAGGCUCAGGUCCGCUUGUCUCCUCCAAAUAGACUUGGUCCCUUUCUUCUCGACUGUCUGGGUAAGGAGGGGAAGAAACGUCCUCCACUUCUAAUGACUGCUCAGAGUGAAAAAAGCUAGCUUCGUCUCGUUACCCAUCCAUCUUCAUCACUGCCGUGGCUCCGCCCUCUCGGUCCGUGAGGCAACGCCUACCAAUUUUGCAAUUUUCAAAAUUGAUAUGUGGUACUCUGAGGCAGGGUUGACUGCCCCUUUAAGUUUAUAUACCAAUUGUUUUUAUUUCAAUGUGGCUUUUUAUUAGUAAAUUUAACACUGAAUAUUUAGGUUUAAGUUUUCAAUGUUUAGAUAUGCAUUUUUUUAUAUUGAGACAUAUAUUUGAUUCUAAAUAUUUGAGUUGAUGUUUAUAGCUUUUGAUCUGUUUUAUGUUUAAAUGUAAUUUUAUAUUUUUAGAUUUCAUUAUAAAUGUGUACAUGAAACAUUUUAUCUUUAGAUGCUAUUUGAAAUAUUUUUAUAUAACUUUAAAUUUUACAUUUAAUCUCAACAUGUAGGUUUAAGUGUUUUUUAGAUUUCUGUCUAAAUAUUUAGCUAAACUUAUUUUCGUAAGUGAUCUAAUAAAAAUAUCAAUGUACAUUUUAAUAUCAAGAUUUAACUCCAUAUUUUUACAUUUCAUUCUCAAUAUUUAGGUUUAACUUUAGAUAUUUAAUUCAAAUCUAAAUAUUCAUAUUUAGCAUUACCAUAUAUAGCUAAAUGUAAUCAAAUAUAGCUUUGGUAUAUUAUUUUGCGGUCAGUGUCACAUAAUUUUGUGCGAAACUUCAGGCAGUUGUUACACAAAAAUAUUUUUGGGCCUAAAACACUAAAGAAAAGCAUAUCUUUGUUUUUAGAAAACAAACUUCAGCUUGAACACUUUGUUUCUAUGUUGGUGUCAUUGUUCUUGGAUGCACUCUGAUACAAAGAUAUUCUUUUCUCACAGAUGUAACUUGCUUCCAAGACAGGAAAAUAUU